UCGGCGGCAGGCCUAACACAUGCAAGUCGAGCGGAAACGAAGAGGUGCUUGCACCUCUGGCGUCGAGCGGCGGACGGGUGAGUAAUGCUUGGGAAUAUGCCUUAUGGUGGGGGACAACAGUUGGAAACGACUGCUAAUACCGCAUGAUGUCUACGGACCAAAGUGGGGGACCUUCGGGCCUCACGCCAUAAGAUUAGCCCAAGUGGGAUUAGCUAGUUGGUGAGGUAAUGGCUCACCAAGGCGACGAUCCCUAGCUGGUUUGAGAGGAUGAUCAGCCACACUGGGACUGAGACACGGCCCAGACUCCUACGGGAGGCAGCAGUGGGGAAUAUUGCACAAUGGGCGCAAGCCUGAUGCAGCCAUGCCGCGUGUGUGAAGAAGGCCUUCGGGUUGUAAAGCACUUUCAGUAAGGAGGAAAGGUUAAGUGUUAAUAGCACUUAGCUGUGACGUUACUUACAGAAGAAGCACCGGCUAACUCCGUGCCAGCAGCCGCGGUAAUACGGAGGGUGCGAGCGUUAAUCGGAAUUACUGGGCGUAAAGCGUACGCAGGCGGUUUGUUAAGCGAGAUGUGAAAGCCCCGGGCUCAACCUGGGAACUGCAUUUCGAACUGGCAAACUAGAGUGUGAUAGAGGGUGGUAGAAUUUCAGGUGUAGCGGUGAAAUGCGUAGAGAUCUGAAGGAAUACCGAUGGCGAAGGCAGCCACCUGGGGUCAACACU
rnacentral:rRNA from 1 species